CGCGGUGGGGCCGUAGCCAAGGAGAGAGAUAUGUCAUAAGAUUGGGAUAGUGGGAAUAAAUUGUGCAAUGUUUUGUAGGCAAUAUUAAGGAUGGAAGAUUUUUAUUUAUCUAAGUGCAGUGGGUAAUCAUCGAGGGGUUUUAAGCUGGGAAAUAACACAAUCAAAUUUAUCUUUUUAACCAUUGCCCUGGCUCCUAUGUGAAGAAUGGAUUCACAUCGAAUGGAAGGAAAAGGAUCAAGGGACCAGGUCCAUGCCUCCCUCUUGAGUUUGUCAGUCAACACUGCAUGAGAUGAAGAGGCAGAAGCCGGAGAGGAUACAGGAAUAAACUAAGCGAGGACUCCUUCCCAUGCACCAGCCUCCACAACCCACAGAGCUCUCCUUUCCACUGCCCUGGAGCCUUUCAAAGGCACAAUUCCUGAUGUUCAGAGAGUAAGUCUUGGAAGACUACACAGCCUUGAAGAAUGCUCACGUCACUCUCCAGGACUGCUUUGGAGAAAACUGUGCUGCUGUCAUCAGGAAAUACCACUACAGCUUAUCUGCUGAGUCUGGGC